GGUUCCUUAGUGUAAUAGUUAACACUCUGAACUUUGAAUCCAGUGUGAUCCGAGCUCAAAUUUCGGAGGAAACU